CUCCAGUAGGGCUUCUCCCUGUAUCUUGGUCAGUAAACCGGAUGGGACAAACAGAUUUUGUACGGACUACCGUAAGCUGAAUUCAGAGGACCCGGACCCGUAAAUUCACCGUGAAGAUCUGAAGAACCAUGGAAAUAUAUUUUGCAGGCAUCGGCAGGCCACGGCACUCGCUCUGGCGCACUGCGGGGCAGAGGUCAUGGCUGUCACAAGCACGCAGGCUGACCUGGACAGCAUUCUGCUGGAGGUACCCCACCCCCUGCACCACCCGUUGCUUGCUCUAUUGUCCCUCUAUAGGACCUCCUCUCUACCAGCCCUAUACACAUACCAGAGGCUGACUAGUUUCCCCGCUGCUCUCUUCAUCUCCCUGGCCCAUUGUUUCUGCUCCGCUCCAUGACGAGAGAUGAGAGAUUCGUUGUGGUGAUUCUCCUGCUGUCCGUUCUCUCUGUGUGAUUGGUUCUGGUGGUCCGUUCUCUCUGUGUGAUUGGUUCUGAUGUCUGGUUCUGGUUGUUGCCUGCAGUGUCCAUCAAUCAGGCCAGUGUGUGUGGACCCAGGGAACUGGGGGGCCACAGAGGAGGCACUAUGGGAG
rnacentral:lncRNA from 1 species